UUUUGUAAUGGACUAUACAGUAGCAGUUGUAGAGAGCGAGAGAGAGAGGGACAGUGAGAGAGCAGGAAGAGGUAGACGAAACAAAUCAUCUGACACAGAGUUUCAAGGAAACUACGGGAAGAAAAAAUGAAGGACAGGGAGAGAGUGAGUGAAUAGAGGAAAACUUGAAUAACAACUUCAGAAAACAGCGAGAAAGUUGACCGACAGUGGAAUGAGUAUUAGGGUAGAACAACACUUCUAACAGUGGAGGAGUGAAAGGGAACCCCCGAGGACAACAGGAUGCAGAGUUUCUGGAUGGAAUGGGUCCCACCUGUAAAAAAGCCAAAGAAUAAAAGUCCAGAAGGAUAAACCCUCCCCUCCCUCCCACAAACAGAACGUGUCCCAGCAGUCGUACCCCUCCAGCACCCUCCUCAGAAUCUCAAAAACAACAGCCCCCUUUCCAGAGCAGAAAAUCACAUUUAAAAAUGGUGAGGUGAAGAGAGCUCCCAACUCCUCGCCACUGUUUGAGAAUGCAGCCUUCCAUCUUAGCUCUACUUCCUUCAUCCAUGCGAUCUCAAUCACCUGCUUACAUCCAGCCAAUCCCAGGCACCCCUUCCCUUCCAGUAACCAGAGGCUGACCUUCCGAAGGAGAAACCAGACAUUGGGGGUCAUCCAUGGGAUCCAGACUACUCAUACAUUAUCCCAGAAGGCAGUGGGGAAGGGAUGAAGCAUUUAAACACCACCGUCAACAGAUGACUGGUCAAUGUGCUUCAAAGAGACAUUCUUUGGUAGGCUUAAAGCUAGUAUAAAUCAGACAAUACUGGAAUUCAUGCUAUCCACAUAUUAAGAUGCCAACAAAACAAAGAGUCUUGCAUGUGAUGACAGAUGAAGAUAUGGAAAAGAUUAUGAUGACAACCAGAGCAUGAAUUGCACAGUGACAUUCAAAGUAGUCUCUAUUGAGUGCAAAAAAAUGUAUGGGCCUAAAAAUAAAGACAAUUUAACGGUAAAAAUGUUUUACCAUUUUAAUGUAGCAUGAACACAUCAGUCAUGAUACUUUCAUCUGAUUGCCAAACAAAUCACUUCAAAAAGUUGGCUACCUACCUGUGCCUUUUCUUCCACACCAAACUAAUCAAACAGUGCAAUGGAUGUACACUUGCGCCAUUAGAUUAAUGGAAUUAGAUAUCGGUUUACAAAACACCAAAAAGUGUGCCUACUGACAUCGGACGAUUGUCAUUGAUUAGGCCUACGUUAAUUGAUGCAGCUUACUGACAAAGUCACUUUUUUUGUAUCCUGAAAAGUCGGGACACCCCCCAAAUGGGUCUGAAACUGUCCAGGGAAUAACGGGAUAGUCAGCCGGUAGCCUACCUUCUCAGCAGAGGCAAUGUUACACACAUGAACACGUGCGGAACAGGUACCCUACAUUCAAUAUAAUACACCAGUUGAAUCAAAACAUGUUUGUACCAUAGUUCAUGAGUUGUCCAUAAUUCAUGAAUUGAAUGCUUGGAGUCUUCACAGAUCGUGUGACACAAAACACUACUUUCCUUUCCUUACAUUGACAUUCAUGACAGUGUUAUUUGUAAUUAUUAGAACAUCAGAACAUUGAAGUUAAAACCUGUAUGAUACCUGUAUGAAUCUCUGAAAAUGCACUGUAAGUGUAACUAUGCCUAUGUAACAUUUCAUUAUGUUUAGACGUAAAAACAGUUACCAAAAGAGUCAACUAUAGUCCUACUGUCAUUGAUGUUGGAUGGAUUGGAUGCACAUUCGUGUCUAGCUGUAGGAUAGUUGUCUAGUGAUAUUGGUGGCCAUCAUCCGCUGAUCCAGGAAAUAAAAUAUUGAUAGAAAAUAAUAAAGCAAAAUAAAUGGUAUACUUCUUAUGGCCACGGACGGCAUAGACAACACCAAUACCCGCGCGCACCUGAAAAACAAAGCAAUGAGCGCUCUAGACAGCUGACUGACAAAAGCAAACUGAUAAAUCAACAGAUACAUCUAAUGCAUUAGAAUAAAGGCUAUUUUUUUAAAUCAAGGACGAAUGGCAAACAAACAGCAAAAAUGAGCAAGUACAAGGGAAAAUCUAUGCGUUUAAAGGAGCUCAGCUGAGGUCAAAUUCGGCGCUACUAAGUGGUUAGCUCAGUGGACAUGGAGACGGUAUAUACAGCCACAUAGAAGUAAAUGGUUUAAACCAUGACAGAGUUGUUACAUUUGGAAGCUUUUAUUUUCAUAUUUACCACUGUAAAACAUAUUUGCAUUUAGAGGCGCUAAUGUCUCAUUCAGGGCAGCUGAGCCUCCCCCGGCUCCCCCGUAAUUUGCACCCUGAAGACAACCAGCGUUGACAUAUGACUCUCUAUACUUCUAGCUCCAUCCUUGCCACCAAGACCUUCCUUUGAGGUCCUGUCCAGAAUCCCUAGUCUUGUUGCCUGAUUCUUACAUGCUGACCAGACCAGACACGUCGCAUGCGCGAGCGUUGCAAAAUAAAUUCAAUUAUUGUGUUAUUCAACUUGUGUCUAAUCGUAGUGCUCACCAUAAAGGGCUGCAUAGAAGGCUGCACGAUUAAUCGAAUUCAGAUUGAAAUUGAGAUAUUGGCAUGUGCAAUAUCCAUAUCGCGAGUGGCUGCAAUUUUCUCCUUUCUUUGACACUUAAUACAACAAAAACUAGACUACAGUUCCUCCUUCAAUGAGAAGCGCUGAAGUCCAUUCAUUCACUCUACAUGCACAGAAGAUGCCAAUCACAAGCGGGCUCUCUCACUCGCUGCAUGGCAUGCACAUGCUGGCCAAUCACAAGCAUCCCCGCUUAGAGCAUGCAGUUAGAUGCUGGUGAGGAGAGAAAAGGCAAAACCUCAGCGUGUGUGUCGGAAACACGAGUGUGGUAAGGCUAGAUUAAAAGAAUGUGAUAGGAAUACCUCCAUAAUAAAUGUUGUUCUGUAUAAUCAAUAUUGUUUUGUUUUAAGUACAGUGGGGCAAAAAAGUAUUUAAUCAGCCACCAAUUGUGCAAGUUCUCCCACCAUAAU